GCGGCUGUAGCGCGGUGGUCCCACCUGACCCCAUGCCGAACUCAGAAGUGAAACGCCGUAGCGCCGAUGGUAGUGUGGGGUCUCCCCAUGCGAGAGUAGGGAACUGCCAGGCA
rnacentral:rRNA from 1 species